rnacentral:rRNA from 1 species
UUGCUGCUUCGCUGACGAGUGGCGGACGGGUGAGUAAUGUCUGGGAAACUGCCUGAUGGAGGGGGAUAACUACUGGAAACGGUAGCUAAUACCGCAUAACGUCGCAAGACCAAAGAGGGGGACCUUCGGGCCUCUUGCCAUCGGAUGUGCCCAGAUGGGAUUAGCUUGUUGGUGGGGUAACGGCUCACCAAGGCGACGAUCCCUAGCUGGUCUGAGAGGAUGACCAGCCACACUGGAACUGAGACACGGUCCAGACUCCUACGGGAGGCAGCAGUGGGGAAUAUUGCAC